rnacentral:tRNA from 1 species
GGCACUAUGGCCGAGUGGUUAAGGCGCUUCCCUGCUAUCGCCGGUGCUCCGGCACUUGCAAGCCAGGAAGUCCGUUCGCGGGCGCGUGUUCGAAUCACGUUGGUGUCG